ensembl:lncRNA
CAAAGAAAAAAGGCUAAAACUUCGAAUCUCAUUGAUAUUUUGUAGUGUUUUGGUUUCGUGUUCACUGACAGGUGCAUUAAACUGUUUGAGACAUGGAAUAAGUAUAAAUCUCGCCUUCCUCCCUCUUAUUUCGAAAAGCACCUGUUGCAAACAGCAGAUUUCCUCCUUGACUCAAAGGUUUUGGUGAUUCUGAUCACACUUUUGAUGAGAGCCUGCCUCCCUCCUUAAAUCCUUCCUCCUCUCUCUUUGACACAGCUGUUGCUGGGGAGUGCUUGCAUUUAAUUUGCCACUUAUUUUCCUUUACUCUUAUUUGGGUUUAUGUGUUAUAAAGGGUCUUUGUUUUGUGUCUCUCAGGAAAGAGUAAGAUUGCAGUAGAUGCUGUGAAUUUUGUGAAGCAGCUCUUCAGAUAUGAACAGUGGAGCAUGUUCAACUCGCUCUCUAUGGCACUUACGUCAGCACUAGAUAACGUGGAAGGCUGCGCAUUUAGGAAGUAUGAGCUUGAACUGAGGACUUUGGAGGCUGUGGAGCAUUUGAUGUCCACGCAAAGAGUUAAAUGAAAGAAUUUUCAUUUCGGUCCAUCCCUACAAACUAUCCGAUUCCUGGUCAGGUCAGAAAGACAUGCAAUCUUUCACCAUAUUAGUGAAACAUAUUUUCAUGCAUGUCACUGAAUAUGUUGUAUUUAUUCUGCUCAGAUGAG